rnacentral:rRNA from 1 species
GAUGAACGCUAGCGGCAGGCCUAAUACAUGCAAGUCGGACGGGAUUGAGUAGCUUGCUAUUCAUGAGAGUGGCGCACGGGUGCGUAACACGUAUGUAACCUACCCUUGUCAGGGGGAUAGCCUCUCGAAAGAGAGAUUAAGACCGCAUAACAUUGUAAUGUGGCAUCACAAAACAAUCAAAUAUUUAUAGGACAAGGAUGGGCAUGCGGAACAUUAGCUAGUUGGUAAGGUAACGGCUUACCAAGGCUACGAUGUUUAGGGGAUCUGAGAGGAUGACCCCCCCACACUGGUACUGAGACACGGACCAGACUCCUACGGGAGGCAGCAGUAAGGAAUAUUGGUCAAUGGGCGGAAGCCUGAACCAGCCAUGCCGCGUGCAGGAAGACGGCCCUAUGGGUUGUAAACUGCUUUUGCAGGGGAAUAAACCUCGAUACGUGUAUCGAGCUGAAUGUACUCUGAGAAUAAGGAUCGGCUAACUCCGUGCCAGCAGCCGCGGUAAAAC